CACAGCCCCUUCAGAGUGGGGGUCCCCCCUGGGGUGACUGGCAAGCCUGGGUGAGGGGCUAAUGGCUGUUUGCAGCUGGUCA